rnacentral:lncRNA from 1 species
GGGGCCCAGCAGUACCUGGUGCACAUUCAAAAGUACUUUCAACAGGAGCAAAGCCGAGCCUCCCGUGGUGUGCUGGGCUCUGUGCCACCCGGAGGGUGGAAGUGAGGAACGCUGAGUGGGACCACGCUCUUCAGUACCCCACCCGCACUUCCCAUGAAGGAGACAGGAAUGUUGUCCCCAGUGCUGGUCGGUCAGGCAUUCAGUCGACAAACACCCACCCAGCAGAUGGCCUUGGGCUCAGCAGAUGCACAGAACCGGUAAGCACAGCCGAGGAGAACAGCGAGAACGGAGCUGGCCCAAGGGAGAGCCUACCUGGAAAGAGGGUGCACUCUGGGACCUUUCCCCUUUGCUCUCCUGCCUCGGCGUGGCCACCUGUGCGACGAAGCUGUCCAAUCGUGUAGUGCCCGGCUUCUGUGAGUCUGAAUCUAAGUCUGGUUUAUAGGCAGAAGAGCCACCAUGGGCUUGAAGUCCUCUGCCCAGGUCAGGGAAGGAGAGGGGUCCCUCAGGAGAUCCCCACUCACGUAUGAGAGACCUUGGGUAUCUGGCCCAUUGGAGGAGAAGUAGUGCUUCCCUUCGGGGGAAGUGGUGUGCAGCUGUGUGACCUGGGCCGAGCCUGUAGCCCUCUCUGGGCUCAGGAGCUCCACCAGGCUCCUGCAGGCCUCAGACUGGCCAGCUCCACCUUCCCCAGCGGUGCAGCAUUGUGAAGAGGAAGGAUUCUAGACCCAUGCAGCUCUGAGUUCAAGGCCCAGACGUCACCACUUACUUGUGAUCUCCUCAGGUCUGCCCUUGCUUUCUUAAUUCCUC